GAUGAACGCUGGCGGCGUGCUUAACACAUGCAAGUCGAACGGUGAAGCAGGAGCUUGCCCUUGUGGAUCAGUGGCGAACGGGUGAGUAACACGUGGGCAACAUGUCCCUGACACUGGGAUAAGCGCUGGAAACGGUGUCUUAAACAGGAUAUAUGAUCUGACCACAAAGUCUGCAUCCGGAGUGAAUUUCGGUUGGGGAUGGGCUCGCGGCCUAUCAGCUUGUUGGUGAGGUAAUGGCUAACCAAGGCGUCGGCGGGUAGCCGGCCUGAGAGGGGGACCGGCCACACUGGGACUGAGACACGGCCCAGACUCCUACGGGAGGCAGCAGUGGGGAAUAUUGCACAAUGGGCGGAAGCCUGAUGCAGCAACGCCGCGUGAGGGAUGACGGCCUUCGGGUUGUAAACCUCUUUUAGCAGGGAAGAAGCGAAAGUGACGGUACCUGCAGAAAAAGCACCGGCUAACUACGUGCCAGCAGCCGCCGUAA
rnacentral:rRNA from 1 species